GCGCACCAGGCGAGAAUCUUCCACAAUGGGGAAACCCUGAUGGAGCGACGCCGCGUGCGGGAUGAAGGCCCUAUGGGUUGUAAACCGCUGUUCAGUGGAAAGAACAUCCUCCGGCUGAAUAGGUCGGAGGCCUGACGUUACCACUGCAGAAAGUCCCGGCAACUCCGUGCCAGCAGCCGCGGUAAAUACGGGGGGACGAGCGUUGUCCGGAAUCAUUGGGCGUAAAGGGCGCGUAGGCGGCGAGGAAGUCGAAUGUGAAAUCUCGCGGCUCAACUGCAAAACUGCGUUCGAAACUUCCUCGCUUGAGUAUGAGAGAGGUGUGCGG
rnacentral:rRNA from 1 species